CAGAAUUUUCAGUUUUCCCUCUAAAGACUUGAGAGUAUUUCCCUCCUUUUUUCCCUAAACCCUCAAGAAACCACUAAUGGCAGAUUUCUUUGAUUCUUCUUUUCUCCCUCCUGGAAGCGGAUUAUCGAUUCACAACUAGCUUCUUGAAUAACGUUUCUCCGGCGACCGUCGAUUGAAAUUUCAAGAAUUGCAGAUCAUCGAUUCUUCGGCAGCAGCUUCAAGGAAGAUAAUCGAUUCGUUGAGCGCUUCUUGAACGAUGAUUCUUGGCCGGCCGUGUAUUAAAAUUUCAAGGAUGCUCUCGAGUUUUUGAAUAAAAAAUUGAACGGACAACUACGACAGAGGAAUCAACGGUGAACGGUACGCAAUCUUCCAAUGAUUUAUUAUUACUUUUACCGUGAACCUUAUGAAAUGUUUAAACUAUUAAGGAUUUAUUAUUACUUUUACCGUGAACCUUAUGAAAUGUUUAAACUAUUAAGGAUUUAUUAUUAGACUUAAUAUUUAUGUCAGUAAUAGGGAAUGAGAUUGAGGUUUAGGGAAGAUUUUUAUUUUUGCUAGUCAAAAGUUAUUUAUUUAUUUAGAAAAAAUAUCCUAUUUAUAUUAGUAUCUCCAAGUGAGAUUCAAGUUAUCUAUUUAUGUUUUUUAAAUUUAUAUUAGGAGGAGGAAUAAGGAAGGGAAAAAAGAAAAAAAAUGAGGAAGAAUAAGGAAGGAAAAAAAGGAAAAAAAAAAACAAAAA